AUACGUAGGGGGCGAGCGUUAUCCGGAUUCAUUGGGCGUAAAGCGCUCGUAGGCGGUCCGUCUGGUCGGGUGUCAAAUCCGGGGGCUCAACCCCCGUUCGCAUCCGAUACCGGCGGACUUGAGUUUGGUAGGGGAAGGCGGAAUUCCAAGUGUAGCGGUGGAAUGCGCAGAUAUUUGGAAGAACACCGGUGGCGAAGGCGGCCUUCUGGGCCACAACUGACGCUGAGGAGCGAAAGCUAGGGGAGCGAACAGGAUUAGAUACCCUGGUAGUCCUAGCCGUAAACGAUGGACACUAGGUGUGGGGGGAUCUGCCCUCCGUGCCGCAGCUAACGCAUUAAGUGUCCCGCCUGGGGAGUACGGCCGCAAGGCUAAA
rnacentral:rRNA from 1 species